UGGCUCAGAACGAACGCUGGCGGCAGGCCUAACACAUGCAAGUCGAACGACACAGUGGCAGACGGGUGAGUAACGCGUGGGAACGUGCCCUUCAGUACGGAAUAGCUUCUGGAAACGGAAGGUAAUACCGUAUACGCCCUCCGGGGGAAAGAUUAUCGCUGAAGGAUCGGCCCGCGUUAGAUUAGCUUGUUGGUGAGGUAAUGGCUCACCAAGGCGACGAUCUAUAGCUGGUCUGAGAGGAUGAUCAGCCACACUGGGACUGAGACACGGCCCAGACUCCUACGGGAGGCAGCAGUGGGGAAUCUUGCACAAUGGGCGAAAGCCUGAUGCAGCCAUGCCGCGUGAAUGAUGAAGGCCCUAGGGUUGUAAAAUUCUUUCAUCAGGGACGAUAAUGACGGUACCUGAAGAAGAAGCCCCGGCUAACUUCGUGCCAGCAGCCGCGGUAAUACGAAGGGGGCUAGCGUUGUUCGGAAUUACUGGGCGUAAAGCGCGCGUAGGCGGACUAUUAAGCCAGAUGUGAAAUCCCGGGGCUCAACCUCGGAACUGCAUUUGGAACUGGUAGUCUAGAGGCCAGGAGAGGUUAGUGGAAUGCCGAGUGUACAGGUGAAAUUCGUAGAUAUUCGGUGGAACACCAGUGGCGAAGGCGACUGACUGGACUGGUACUGACGCUGAGGUGCGAAAGUGUGGGGAGCAAACACGAUUAGAUACCCUGGUAGUCCACACCGUAAACGAUGAGUGCUAGUUGUCGGCAGGCAUGCCUGUCGGUGACGCAGCUAACGCAUUAAGCACUCCG
rnacentral:rRNA from 1 species